CCUGCAACAAAAUUCCGAGACAAGUUUCAAGACAAGUUGCAUAGUGUAACAGCGCCUUUUACUAAACAUUUAAUUUUGAACUAUAGAUGAAUAAAUUCGCUCUCGCUAUGUUAACUACUCUAUGUGAAUCUUUAAUUCCACCGCGCAAUAUGGACGAAAAGUUAUAAGGGUUAGCCUUUACUUUUUUCCCAAUCUUGCCCGGCCCCUUUUCCAAAAAUCAAAAAAUUGCCCAUAAUGGACGAAACAUUAAGGGGUUAGCCUUAAUAUUUUGCUAUUUUUGGUGACUUUUUCACAAAUCACAAAAGCGGUUGAAAAUGGACGAAAAGCUAUGGGCAAGCCUUUAUUUUUUGCCAUUUUUGGCCACUCUUUUGCUACUUUUAGCGACCUG